GAUGCCACCAAGGCCGCAUUUCGUGCUGUUUGCCCAGAGGAAUCCUGGAUGAAGAAGUGCGUCUCCUUCGGGGCAGAUGGUGCCACCGUGGGGGAGUGAUUGACCAACUGCAGAGAGAGGCAGGGGGGCAUAUAAUCCCAAUCCACUGCUAGAGCUGGCAAUACUGACCAUUCAGAAGAAAGAGCCAAAUGUGUCUGUUGUGUACGAUCUUCUGUAUCUGAUAUGGAAGAUGUAUCACUUCAGCGGAAAAUCCAAACGAGAGAGCUCUAUGUUCUCGGGCAAGAGCUCAGUGUGGAUAUUUGCACACCGUCUAGCGUCAAGGGAACUCGCUGGAUCCCCCAUGUCCACAGAGCCCUCAAAGUGUUCCUGCGGCAUGGACAAGACAAGGACCUUGCCGCUGACGAAGGCCAGUACUCUGUUUUUCUGCAACACAUCAACAACAGCGGAAGUUCAAGGGCGGGCAAAGAAGAUAAAGUGGGAAAUGGAGAAAGAGAAAAUGGCAGAAUACACAUGUGCAGACAUGUUUGAGGAGCUAUCCUCACUUAGCCUCACCCUGCAAAGAAAUGACCUGAUCCUCCCCCAAACCACAUCAGAGUUGAGGAAGACAGUGACCAGACUGGAAGCACUAAAGCUUAGGGCAAAGGCAGGAGGCAUGCUGGAGAAGAUCCAGACCAUGCUUGCUCAGCAGCAGGGUGAUGAGAGGAGAU